UACGUAGGGUGCAAGCGUUGUCCGGAAUUAUUGGGCGUAAAGAGCUCGUAGGCGGUCUGUCGCGUCUGCUGUGAAAACUCGGGGCUUAACCCCGGGCCUGCAGUGGGUACGGGCAGACUAGAGUGCGGUAGGGGAGACUGGAAUUCCUGGUGUAGCGGUGAAAUGCGCAGAUAUCAGGAGGAACACCGGUGGCGAAGGCGGGUCGCUGGGCCGUAACUGACGCUGAGGAGCGAAAGCGUGGGGAGCGAACAGG
rnacentral:rRNA from 1 species